rnacentral:rRNA from 1 species
GUGGGGAAUAUUGGACAAUGGGCGAAAGCCUGAUCCAGCCAUGCCGCGUGUGUGAAGAAGGUCUUCGGAUUGUAAAGCACUUUAAGUUGGGAGGAAGGGUAGUAACCUAAUACGUUGCUACUUUGCCGUUACCGACAGAAUAAGCACCGGCUAACUUCGUGCCAGCAGCCGCGGUAAUACGAAGGGUGCAAGCGUUAAUCGGAAUUACUGGGCGUAAAGCGCGCGUAGGAGGUUCAGUAAGUUGGAAGUGAAAUCCCCGGGCUCAACCUGGGAACUGCUUUCAAAACUGCUGAGCUAGAGUACGGUAGAGGGUGGUGGAAUUUCCUGUGUAGCGGUGAAAUGCGUAGAUAUAGGAAGGAACACCAGUGGCGAAGGCGACCACCUGGACUGAUACUGACACUGAGGUGCGAAAGCGUGGGGAGCAAACAGGAUUAGAAACCCCAGUAGUCC